rnacentral:tRNA from 9 species
AGGAGUGUAGCUCAGCUGGUAGAGCAUCGGUCUCCAAAACCGAGGGCCGUGGGUUCGAGUCCCUCCACUCCUGCCA